rnacentral:lncRNA from 10 species
GGCUCCCCGACCGCCCCUCCCUCCUGCGCCGAGGCCUGCCAGAGAUGGGGUCUCGCUACAUUGACCAAGCUGGUCUCAAAAUCCUGGCCUGAAGCAAUCCUCCCGCCUCAGACUCCCAAGGAUCUGGCAGCCUUGGCCCAAGCAAUCCCAGUGGGCGCAUCUUGGGAGCUGACUUUGGGGCCACCUUUCCCCAUGCUGCCUGGGGACCAGAGAACACUGACCGCGGGAAAGACCGAUGCUGCCGAGGCCAGGAGGAGGGGGAGGCCGUCAUCUGUGGGUCCCCAGCAGCGCUUGGGGUCCUGGCCACUCCAGCGGCCCCUUGCACCUGCCUCCAGGGAUCCUUUGUCUUCAAAAUAACCUCCCUCCACCUUCCGGCUCAUAGUGCCUUGGGUGGAUCUGUUCCCAUUUCCCACAAGCCUGCAGGGUGGUGACAGGCCCUCAUUCCCAUGUGCCCCAAGAUUUCGGAUUCCAAAAAUACAUCCCCUGGCUCCCCGGAGAAGUGUGUCACGGUGUCUCCGUUUCACCACUGACAGGGCCAAAGGAUGUGCUCUCCUCUCCCGAGCUGCCAUGGUCAAGGCAAGCCAGGACUCACCUCAGGCUGGCCCAGCCCCUCACCCCACACUGGCUCUGGGGGCCACGGCUGGCGAAGCCUCUGCGGUAGUUGGGGAUCAGGCAGGCCGAGGGUCUGGCCUGUGCCGAGACCUGCACAGCUGGGUCAGCGGCUGCCUCUGUAUUCAUUUCCUGAGGCUGCUGUGACAAGUCACCACAUACCUGGUGGCUGAAAACAACACAUUUACUCCGCUCGCAGUUCUGGAGCCCAGAAGUGCAGUGUCACGGGGGUGAAGGCGAGGCGUCGGGGGCCGCUCCUCCUCCAGAGGCUGGGCCUUCCCAGGAGCUUAUCCACUCCUGGCCUCUCCCUGCUUAUGGGGGCUGCCAGGG